UACGGAGGGUGCAAACGUUGCUCGGAAUCAUUGGGCGUAAAGCGCACGUAGGCGGUCUCGUAAGUCGGGCGUGAAAGCCCUGGGCUCAACCCAGGAAGUGCUUUCGAAACUGCGAGGCUUGAGUAUGGAAGAGGGUCGCGGAAUUCCCGGUGUAGAGGUGAAAUUCGUAGAUAUCGGGAGGAACACCAGUGGCGAAGGCGGCGACCUGGGCCAAUACUGACGCUGAGGUGCGAAAGCGUGGGGAGCAAACGGG
rnacentral:rRNA from 1 species